GUAUAUCCGCCAAAACCAUUUUUAUUUGGUGCUGUCUUUAGCACUUUGCCCUUUUGAAGUUAAAAUAAAUGCAUAUCUCGAGAAAUCUAGUCUCUAGUCUCUAGCUAUAUACUAAAAUCUCACCCCCUCUAAAUAAGGUCGACCUGGAAGAGAUAUUGCGUUUUUUACGUUUUAAAAUUCCGAUCUUUCACCGAUCGCCUCGAUUCCCGUACCGUUCGACGGGUUUCGUCGUCACGCGUCCUUUCCGACCGCCGCUGGAAUUUCUCGAAUUGUGACGGUCUUAUUUGAUUUGAUUCUGUAAUUUUUAGAAGGAGUUUGUUGUAUUCUGAGGAAUGUUUCAAUAAUGGCUCGGCCCGUUGGCCAAGAGUGCUGGCUCAAUCAAUAGUGCUGUUAACAAUCUACAACGGAUUUAUUAAACGGACGGCAUUUGUUGCGUCCUGAGGUUGUAUGCUUCGAUAACGGCUCGGCCUGUUGGACCAAAGUGCCGGGGCUCUGAUCGACAACGGAUUUAUUACACGGACUGUGCUACCGUUGUGGUGCUAUGAUUACAACUAAGCUAGAUAUUGAUGGCAGUCUUCGCUAUUGGAUUUAUUGCACGGAAGGAGUUUGUUGUAUCCUGAGGAGUGUUUCAAUAAUGGGUCGGCCCGUUGGCCAAGAGUGCUGGUUCUAAUGGACAACGGAUGUAUUACACGGUCCGUGCAUCUGUUUUGCCCGGUCGACUGUGAUUGAUUAGCGGUCAACCGACCCAAAGAGUGCUGGCUCUAAUUCAUGUUGGUUGUAUUACACAGAUAGUGCACGACCUUUGGUAAAUUUCACUUCUGUUGAUGUGUUGAUAGUUCUGUGCUGUUGGUUUUUUUUAGCCUUGCUUGCCAUCCUUUAUUGUUCGCCGCUCCUCCAAAAUGCCUGUCAAACCUCGAUUCCAUAAGAUAUUGCCAUUCGACAAUGGAGGAUCAUCAAAAUUACUACGUGCAGUCUGCUUAGGAGUUCAUCGAAAACGUUUAUUCUUUAUUUAAUUUACAACAUAAUUCUUUUAACAAUAUUAUUGUAUUGAUUUAGGUUUGAGUCUCUCAUUAAACCGUAUUUUUCUGAUGAUAAUUAUAUCGAUUUGUAUUUCGAGUAUAUUACUUCAAUAAGAACGAAAUUUUUUUAUGUGUGUGAUCGUGACAAUAAAUAAACAUUAAUUAAUAAAGAAACGUUAAUUUUUUUUUAUUUUUAAAAGAAA